UAUUAGAAGUUUUAUUUAUUUCUAUUAUUAAAAACUGGCACCACUAACAAAAUAACUAGAUAGUUAAGGGUGGCGUGCCACGUGUACUUUAUUCUAACAUAUAGAGACUAGUUUUUAAUAGUAGAAAUGAAUAUAAGUUUUAAAA
rfam:Gossypium raimondii Chr02_contig_794, whole genome shotgun sequence.